rnacentral:tRNA from 4 species
GGCGCUGUAGCCAAGUGGUAAGGCAGGGCUCUGCAAAAGCCUUAUCCCCGUGUUCGACUCCGGGCAGCGCCU